rnacentral:rRNA from 1 species
AUGGCUCAGGAUGAACGCUAGCUACAGGCUUAACACAUGCAAGUCGAGGGGCAGCAUGAAACUUAGCUUGCUAAGUUUGAUGGCGACCGGCGCACGGGUGAGUAACACGUAUCCAACCUACCGUUUACUACGGGAUAGCCUUCUGAAAAAGGAGAUUAAUACCGUAUGGCAUUCUAAAGUUUCAUGACAUUAGAAUUAAAGGUUUACCGGUAAUCGAUGGGGAUGCGUUCCAUUAGAUAGUAGGCGGGGUAACGGCCCACCUAGUCAGCGAUGGAUAGGGGUUCUGAGAGGAAGGUCCCCCACAUUGGAACUGAGACACGGUCCAAACUCCUACGGGAGGCAGCAGUGAGGAAUAUUGGUCAAUGGGCGAGAGCCUGAACCAGCCAAGUAAGCGUGAAGGAUGACUGCCCUAUGGGUUGUAAACUUCUUUUAUAAAGGAAUAAAGUGGUCCACGUGUGGAUUUUUGUAUGUACUUUAUGAAUAAGGAUCGGCUAACUCCGUGCCAGCAGCGGC